CCUUCGAUAGCUCAGCUGGUAGAGCGGAGGACUGUAGAUCCUUAGGUCGCUGGUUCGAUUCCAGCUCGAAGGA
rnacentral:tRNA from 2 species